rnacentral:tRNA from 1 species
AUCUGGGUGGCUCAGUUGGUUGAGUGUCUGACUUCAGCUCAGGUCAUGAUCUCAUGGUCUGUGGGUGCAAGCCCCACGCCAGGCU